rnacentral:lncRNA from 1 species
AAAAAAAAAAAAAGGCAGCACAGCAGCGAUUAUUAAAGCACGGGAGAGAGCAUGGCAGACAAUUGCGGACCGGCUCAAUACGAAGUCUGAAAAAAAAAAACAGUACAAUGAAUAAACAGCGCUCAACUGAAACUCCUAAAAAUUACAAUUAAAGGACCAACAGAGUUAGUGACUUUUCAUUUGCACUAAUGAACAGUUGUACACUUUCUAUGUUGCAAGUAUAGAAUUGCAUGUUACUCGGGGAAAAAAGUGCAAAGAAUUAUUCACAUUGUGUGAGUGUGUUACCGGUUAUCUAUUUAUCCAAAAUGAAUUUUGUUUGUCUAUUUUAUCUGUCCAUCCUUCUCUAAGAACAAACUUCUCUGGACAGAAGAAGAACUGGCAGUAAGUAAAUACCAAUUGAAAGGAUAUUCUGCUGGCUGGUGAGUACCUUUAGUGUAGAUAAUAAACAAAUGAGGUGACUAGAUUAGGUGUCUGCUUACAUAUUGAUUAUCUGAUUGUAGCAGUUAAAAUAAAAGCCCACAAAACUGGCACGGGGUGGCCCACCAGCCCACCAAGCCAAGAUUUGUCACCAGCAGAGGAGCUAGCACUGGACUUCAAUAAAGGGAGGUCAGUGACAGAGAGGACCCAGGGAUGGAUGGCCACAGACUCUGGCCCUGCGACAUAAACUGGCUGCUUUGUACAAGGUAGGCUGCACAUAGAACACAAUUAAAUGAGUGUAUUAUACUGCUUGACUUUGGAUUUCUUUGCAGUGUUUGGGGACACACUAGUACUUUUGAAGCCACCAGAGGAUGAUCUGGUUAGUACAGUACCAUUUAUUGAAAUCAGCACUUUGGCCUGCUCUGUUAAAUCUCUAGAAGGCUUGAGGUAUCGUAAAUUUUGUGGAAAUAUCCUGCUUAUUUAGUCUAUAAUGGAAAUAAAGUCAGUGAACUGGUGCGAAUAAAAUGCAGAUUCAGCACAGCCUCAGAAACAGCCAGGUAACAUUGAAAGUUCUGGCUUAAGUAAAUCAAAUUACCAUCAAAUUAUGGCCAAACACUGCUGUUCUAAUUUACAUUUCUUUUUCAGAAUUAACAGUCAGAUCUCUCUAUGCCAAGCUUCUUCAGAGACAGAUUGAGUGGCAGAGGUCAAAAUUAAACUGCAAAAGAGGAAGUUGCGAAAGACUGAGUCAGAUUUGAAGAUUGGACCUGGACCUUGAAACUAAACUGGAGAGUGAAGUCAGCAAUUUAGUGCACACUAACAUAUCUGUAAUUUGCAAUACAGUGUAUUAAUCUUUAUCACUUACGAAUUCUAGGUUCCAAACAGAGAGAGCACUGCAAAUUAAAAGUAAUUGAACUAGAAAACAUUGUAGAGUCUUUUUUUUCCACGAAUGUGUGGUAUACUAUUGAUUUGGUUACAUUGAAUUCAGAGGAUAACCAUGCU